rnacentral:rRNA from 1 species
AACGAACGCUGGCGGCAGGCUUAACACAUGCAAGUCGAACGCCCCGCAAGGGGAGUGGCAGACGGGUGAGUAACACGUGGGAACGUGCCCUAAGGUUUGGAAUAUUCCCGGGAAACUGGGAGCAAUACCAAAUGUGUCCGCAAGGAGAAAGAUUUAUCGCCUUAGGAUCGGCCCGCGUCAGAUUAGCUAGUUGGUGGGGUAAAAGCCUACCAAGGCGACGAUCUGUAGCUGGUCUGAGAGGACGACCAGCCACACUGGGACUGAGACACGGCCCAGACUCCUACGGGAGGCAGCAGUGGGGAAUCUUGGACAAUGGGCGCAAGCCUGAUCCAGCCAUGCCGCGUGGAAGAUGAAGGCCCUAGGGUUGUAAAAUCCUUUCGUUGGGGACGAUAAUGACGGUACCCAAAGAAGAAGCUCCGGCUAACUUCGUGCCAGCCGCCGCCGUAAUAC